rnacentral:rRNA from 4 species
CUAUACAUGCAGUCGAGCGGAGUUUUGAAAAGCUUGCUUUUCAAAACUUAGCGGCGGACGGGUGAGUAACACGUGGGCAACCUGCCCUUGAGACGGGGAUAACUCCGGGAAACCGGAGCUAAUACCGGAUAACACAUAUCUUCGCAUGAGGAUAUGUUAGAAGGUGGCUUUUAGCUACCACUCAAGGAUGGGCCCGCGGCGCAUUAGCUAGUUGGUGAGGUAACGGCUCACCAAGGCGACGAUGCGUAGCCGACCUGAGAGGGUGAUCGGCCACACUGGGACUGAGACACGGCCCAGACUCCUACGGGAGGCAGCAGUAGGGAAUCUUCCGCAAUGGACGAAAGUCUGACGGAGCAACGCCGCGUGAGUGAUGAAGGUUUUCGGAUCGUAAAGCUCUGUUGUUAGGGAAGAACAAGUACCUGUUAAAUAAGCAGGUACCUUGACGGUACCUAACCAGAAAGCCACGGCUAACUACGUGCCAGCAGCCGCGGUAAUACGUAGGUGGCAAGCGUUGUCCGGAAUUAUUGGGCGUAAAGCGCGCGCAGGCGGUUCCUUAAGUCUGAUGUGAAAGCCCACGGCUCAACCGUGGAGGGUCAUUGGAAACUGGGGAACUUGAGUGCAGAAGAGGAGAGCGGAAUUCCACGUGUAGCGGUGAAAUGCGUAGAGAUGUGGAAGAACACCAGUGG